AAAGUAAGUUUCCCAUCCUGAUAAAACGUAAGCAAUGAUCGAUCGUAGCGCCCUCAGCUGCUUUGCCUGGCCUAACCGUGUUCGUACGUAUUGCGAUCGAGGGAAACAAUUCUUUGUCACUUACUAUUUGAUCUUUUCAAAUUUUGCUGUCGAUUUGUCGGCAGCUGAAACUGAAAAUCUCAAAAAUUCGAUGUGCCGAAGUGCGAAGAAAUUGCACUAAGUGAUCGUGGAUAUGAAAAAGCAUGAAAUAAAUAUUUGUAUGAAAGAAGAGGUACAGAUGAACUAUAGAUCUCCACAAAAAAAAUGCAAGAAAGAAUGAUAAAAUCAUGAUGCAUCACAUUGUCAUGCAUAACUAGUUAUCGCUGUGUUCAUAUCAAGUUACUUUAAUAGAUUUUGUGUGUUCAGAGAAAUUAACACUCAAAUAUCAUCACAGAUCAUCAUUACAUAUAUUGCUAUACAUUAUAUAUAUGUAUAUAUUUAACAAACAAGAUUUUUAAAAAUAAUUUUAUGUAUACAAGCGAGUAGCCUUAAAUGAGAGUUACUGUAAAUUUGUAAUAAUUCUGGUGCCGUUUAAUAUAAUCAAUAAAAAAAUCAAUUUUAUAAAGUAAUAAAAAUUACAUUUUAAAUGAUGCUCAAAUUGUUACAAAUAAUUUUAAGUAGCAUACAUGAAGUAUUGAAUAAGAAUUUGUUCUGACACAAUUUGUGGUAUAACUACAGUGGAAUAAAAAUGUUUUAAUGUUUAAGAAGAGGAUGCACAACAAUC